rnacentral:lncRNA from 1 species
GUGGAAGGCGAAAGCUGAUGGACAGACUCACAGCAUUCCUGCGCACCUGCUGGAUCCAGAUGCUGAUCUCUAGAUCAGGUACAAGACGCAGAGCCCGCCUGCCUCCGCAGUCUGGAAAUUACCAAGGUCGCUUCCCUGCUCCCUGAAUUUCCCUCCUGAGCCACAGUCAUCUUACCUGAAAAGCCAAUUCUGUAUCGCAGAGCUUCCUGAUCUGGCGCUCUUUAAGGAAACCUGAGGAUCGCCAUUCCUCUUUUGUGCAGCGCGCACAAAGGACGGAGUCCUGUGCACACCAGUAGCUUCUCCUGUCUGACCUUCUUCAGAGGAUCAUUUCAGAGAGUGUGUCUCUGUGACACACAUCUGCUUCCUUUUAUUUCUGGAGACCCUAAUUAUAGACGUUAAAUUUGCUAGCUGGGUGUGGCAGCUCAUGCUUGUAAAUCCAGGCUCAAGCAGAAGCACCAGUAGGAAAGGCAGGGCGAGUUUGUUUGUUUGCUUGCUUGCUUUGCUUUGCUUUGCUUUGCUUUGCUUUGCUUUGCUUUGCUUUGCUUUGCUUUGCUUUGCUUUGCUUUGCUUUGCUUUGCUUUGCUCCUCAGGUAAAUUGUAUAUCUGCCACAGCAGCUCUUCUUGUAUUUUUUUUUCCUUGCAUGAUUCUUGUGACACCUCAUAAUUGUCAGGGACAGGAAUAGUCUGCCCACUCCUAACCCCUGACAUAUGAGAUACAGGACCAAGAGUCAACAGAUGUGACCAACUUUCUUCAUGCAGCCACAAUGACGAAAAUAAAAAGGAGCUACGUCUACAGGUGACACUUACUGCAUUGCCAUUUAGGCAUUUUAAUAUGUGUUGUUUGAAUAUUUUACAUAAUUUUAAAAUCGUUGGUGUUACUUUAGGGUUUUGCAACAGGAUUCUAUGGAAUCCAGGCUGGCCUCCAACUUAAUGGCCUUGAACUGCUUGCUGAUCCUCCUGUCUCUGAUGGAGUAGGGGGAGAUGGACAGAGGCCUCUUUGUAUUGUAGAACGGAGUCUGCACCUGCAUGUUAUUACUAGCCUCUAUGCACUGUUCCAUGUUCACUCUCCGGCCCAGGUGGCACCUGGAGGAGUGGGUGUUAACAACAGACACUAACUACACUCAGCAUUCUGAGGAGCGCUUGAGCCCAGGAUUCCAGAGAAUGAGGGAAAUAUGCACGGGAUUAUAACAACGAAGACUCGAAGACUCGGGCAAUCACAAGUCUCAACACUUUGGUGAUCACCAAACAACGAGGCUCGUGUCUUAGCUGUUCUUGGCAGAGGAAGAGCUUUGUGAUUGCUUAGAGGUCGUCGGUGAGGAGGGAGAAAAGAAGAAGGGAGAAGACGAAGAGAAAGAUAAAAGAAAAGAAAAAGAAGCAAAA